UUGGCUCAAAGUCAUAGCGCCCCCUAGUGGCAACAGGAAGUAGGCCUAAAAGACAAGGUGCUAUACUUUAACAAACUCCUCAUAGAGAUUUCAUCCGAUCAACUUCAAACUUGGUCUGUGUCAUCUCAAGAUGUUGAAGAUUAAAAGUUAUUAAAAGACUAAUUUUUUGUCAUACGGUGUGGGCGUGGCAUGGCGGCCAUGUUGAGUGUUUAGCAAUGAAGAAUUAAGUGACUGUAACUACAGUGUACGUUGUUGUAUCUGCUUGAAGUUUCCCACAAACAGCAAGGGUCCAGGCCUGAGGAAACGUACAGGCCAAUAUAGACUUUUGGAGAUAGCGCCACCAUCUGGCAGAAGAAAUAUGCCUUAUAUGACAAACAUCAUCCGAUUUACAUGAAACUUAGAAUGUGUGGACAACAUGUGAUACUGAGGCGGCCUCUAUAUUAUGACCACGCCCACGCACUCAGGCCACGCCCACUUUCAUAACAUUUGAACCGUUUAAAGGUACAGUCUUGUGUGAGGUAUCAAUGAACUCAGCAGAGACUUCCUUUUUUAUUAGUGAUGUUUGACCCGCCCCACUAUGAAGCGGCCACGCCCCCUUUCACGGAUAAUGACUUGUAUGUGGUAUAGGCUUGUGUGAGGUAUCAAUGAACUCAGCAGGGAGUUCACUUUUCAUUGGCGAUGAUUUUCAGCGUGUGAGUGACGCGCAAAUGCGCGGUCGCAAGGAGAGGCGUCCGCCGGUAACCCCGACUGGCGCAGGUUAGCGAGGGCCCUCCAUCGCUGCUUGCAGCUUUAAU